rnacentral:rRNA from 1 species
ACGGGGUGCAGCAGGCGCGAAAACUUCACACUGUGCGAAAGCGCGAUGAGGGAAUCCCAAGUGCCUGCUCGUAAGAGUAGGCUGUUUCUUUGUUUAAAACGCAGAGAGAGUAAGGGCUGGGUAAGACGGGUGCCAGCCGCCGCGGUAAUACCUGCAGCUCAAGUGGUGAUCACUAUUAUUGGGCCUAAAACGUCCGUAGCCGGUUUAAUAAAUGCCUGGGUAAAUCGUGUAGCUUAACUAUACGAAUUCCGGGUAGACUGUUAAACUUGAGACCGGGAGAAGCUAGAGGUACUCCUGGGGUAGAGGUGAAAUUCUGUAAUCCUAGGGGGACCACCAGUGGCGAAGGCGUCUAGCUAGAACGGGUCUGACGGUGAGGGACGAAGCCCUGGGGCACAAACCGGAUUAGAUACCCGGGUAGUCCAGGGUGUAAACGCUGCUUGCUUGAUGUUAGUUGGGCUCCGAGCCCAGCUAGUGUCGGAGAGAAGUUGUUAAGCAAGCUGCCUGGGAAGUACGGUCGCAAGGCUGAAACUUAAAGGAAUUGGCGGGGGAGCACAGCAACGGGUGGAGCGUGCGGUUUAAUUGGAUUCAACGCCGGAAAGCUCACCGGAGGCGACGGUUAUAUGAAGGCCAGGCUGAUGACCUUGCCUGAUUUUCCGAGAGGUGGUGCAUGGCCGCCGUCAGUUCGUACCGUAAGGCGUUCUGUUAAGUCAGACAACGAACGAGACCCUCAUCUUUAAUUGCAACUAGUAAGUCCGCUUACUGGGCACAUUAAAGAAACCGCUGGCGAUAAGUCA